GAUGAACGCUGGCGGCGUGCCUAAUACAUGCAAGUCGAGCGAACAGAUGAGGAGCUUGCUCCUCUGACGUUAGCGGCGGACGGGUGAGUAACACGUGGAUAACCUACCUAUCAGACUGGGAUAACUUCGGGAAACCGGAGCUAAUACCGGAUAAUAUAUUGCACCGCAUGGUUCAAUAGUGAAAGACGGCUUUGCUGUCACUUAUAGAUGGUUCCGGGCUGCAUUAGCUAGUUGGUAAGGUAACGGCUUACCAAGGCAACGAUGCGUAGCCGACCUGAGAGAGUGAUCGGCCACACUGGAAGUGGGCCAGGGUCCAGACUCCUGCGGGAGGCAGCAGUAGGGAACCUGCGGCAAAGGGCGAAAGCCUGACGGAGCAGCGCCGCGUGAGUGAUGAAGGUCUUCGGAUCGUAAAACUCUGUUAUUAGGGAAGAACAACUGUGUAAGUAACUAUGCACGGCUUGACGGUACCUGGUCAGAAAGCAACGGCUAACUACGUG
rnacentral:rRNA from 1 species